rnacentral:rRNA from 1 species
GACGAACGCUGGCGGCGUGCCUAAUACAUGCAAGUAGAACGCUGAAGGAGGAGCUUGCUUCUCUGGAUGAGUUGCGAACGGGUGAGUAACGCGUAGGUAACCUGCCUGGUAGCGGGGGAUAACUAUUGGGAACGAUAGCUAAUACCGCAUAAGAGUAGAUGUUGCAUGACAUUUGCUUAAAAGGUGCAAUUGCAUCACUACCAGAUGGACCUGCGUUGUAUUAGCUAGUUGGUGAGGUAACGGCUCACCAAGGCGACGAUACAUAGCCGACCUGAGAGGGUGAUCGGCCACACUGGGACUGAGACACGGCCCAGACUCCUACGGGAGGCAGCAGUAGGGAAUCUUCGGCAAUGGACGGAAGUCUGACCGAGCGACGCCGCGUGAGUGAAGAAGGGUUUCGGAUCGUAAAGCUCUGUUGUAAGAGAAGAAAGAGUGUGAGAGUGGAAAGUUCACACUGUGACGGUAUCUUAACAGAAAGGGACGGCUAACUACGUG